GCGAUGAACCGUCGGGGGGGGAUGGCGGCGGACGGGUGAGUAACACGUGGGUAACGUGCCUCAAAGUGGGGGAUAGCCUUCCGAGAGUGGAUUAAUACCGCAUAAAGCCAAGUUUCACAUGGAAUUUGGAUGACAGGAGUAAUUCGCUUUGAGAUGGACCCGCGGCGCAUUAGUUAGUUGGUGGGGUAAUGGCCUACCAAGACAGCGAUGCGUAGCGACCUGAGAGGGUGAUCGGCCACCUUGGAACUGAGAUACGGUCCAGACUCCUACGGGAGGCAGCAGUGGGGAAUAUUGCACAAUGGGCGAUACGUGGAAUGCAGCAACGCCGCGUGAGUGAUGAGGUCUUCGGAUUGUAAGCUCUGUCUUUUGGGACGAUAAUGACGGUACCAAGGAGGAGCACGGCUACUACGUGCCAGCAGCCGCGGUAUACGUGUGCGAGCGUGUCCGAUACUGCGUAAGGUGCGUAGCGAUGUCUAAGUGAGAUUACCGGCUACUUGGUGCUGCAUUUCAACUGUUCUAGAGUCCAGAGAGGAGAAUGAAUCUAGUUAGCGUAAAUGCGUAGAGAUUAGGAAGACACCAGUUGCGAAGCGAUUCUCUGACUGUAACUGACGCUAGCACGAAAGCGUGGUAGCAAACAGAUAGAUACCUGGUAGUCCACGCCGUAAACGAUGAGUACUACGUGUAAGGAGGUAUCGACCCCUUCUGUGCCGCCAGUAAACACAUUAAGUACUCCGCCUGGAAGUACGAUCGCAAGAUUAAAACUCAAAGAAUUGACGGGGCCCGCACAAGCAGCAGAGCAUGUGGUUUAAUUCGAAGCAACGCGAAGAACCUUACCUGGACUUGACAUCCCCUGAAUAACCUAGAGAUAGGCGAAACCUUCGGGGCAGGGAGACAGGUGGUGCAUGGUUGUCGUCAGCUCGUGUCGUGAGAUGUUAGGUUAAGUCCUGCAACGAGCGCAACCCUUAUUGUUAGUUGCUAACAUUCAGUUGAGCACUCUAACGAGACUGCCGCGGUUAACGCGGAGGAAGGUGGGGAUGACGUCAAAUCAUCAUGCCCCUUAUGUCCAGGGCAACACACGUGCUACAAUGGGCAGAACAAAGAGAAGCAAUACCGCGAGGUGGAGCCAAACUCAAAAACUGCUCUCAGUUCGGAUUGCAGGCUGAAACUCGCCUGCAUGAAGCUGGAGUUGCUAGUAAUCGCGAAUCAGCAUGUCGCGGUGAAUACGUUCCCGGGCCUUGUACACACCGCCCGUCACACCAUGAGAGCUGCAACACCCGAAGUCCGUAGUCUAACGUAAGAGACGCGC
rnacentral:rRNA from 1 species